rnacentral:rRNA from 1 species
GCGUGAGUGAUGAAGGCCCUAGGGUUGUAAAGCUCUUUCGGCGGGGAAGAUGAUGACGGUACCCGCAGAAGAAGCCCCGGCUAACUUCGUGCCAGCAGCCGCGGUAAUACGAAGGGGGCUAGCGUUGUUCGGAAUUACUGGGCGUAAAGGGCGUGUAGGCGGAUCGGCCAGUCAGAUGUGAAAGCCCCGGGCUUAACCUGGGAACUGCAUUUGAUACUGCCGAUCUAGAGUCCGGGAGAGGAUAGUGGAAUUCCCAGUGUAGAGGUGAAAUUCGU